rnacentral:lncRNA from 1 species
UUUCCUUCAAUUUAGUUCUUUUCUUCAAUCUUUUACAAUCAACUCUUCAAGACUCCAUUCAACACUACGAAAUCCGCCAACCUAUAAAAUCCUUAACAACAAUUGCUCCUCUCGAGUGCGCCGCUUCGCCGUUUCAAGUGCUAGCAAUCUUCGCCUUGCCGCUACGGUGCUCGGGACCCGAUCUCACGAUUUAUAGACGUCGCCUCGGCCUCCCAGGCGGAAAUGAAGCUCCGAGCGCCCGUUUCUUCAAUAUCUUCGCAACGGCUUGUCGGAUUGACGAAUCGAUUUCGCCAACGUGUUUCGUUACCUAUCAAUUAGGUUUACGAAGGGUCAAAUGAGAUCAAACUCAUCUAUUUACAAAAACCCCAUUUUGAUGCCCUAGAAUGCCAUCACUAGCAAAUCCACCAAAUCGAUCUAGGAUUUGGGGUGAAAUCAUCUUAGAGGCAUGCUGGGGUUCCUCUAAAUCCAUUUCUAGGGUUUAAAAACCCAUCUACAAGGAACUAUUACAAGAAGCCAUGAAACUUACCUCUUGAGAGAGCUCAAAUGGCUCAAGAAGGAUAAAGGAGAGGGUGAAGAUCUCCUUCAAGAUCUUCUUCUCCUUCCUCUCCAUCUUCUUUUUUCUCUUUUUCCUUCUCUCUUUUCCUUUUCCUUCUUUCUUUCUCGUUUCCUUUUCCUUUGCUACGGACCGAGAGAGAGAGAGAGAGAGAGAGAGAGACAGUGAGGGAGAGUGUAAGGGAGUGAGACAGAGAGAGAGAGAAAGACCUCUCUCAAAUAACCCCUCAUAUGGCCACUUUGCACAUAAGCCCCUCCACUUUUCAUCUCUUACACAGCCCUCACUAGGCGUUCUGCGCGCGGAGGGACCGGUCUCCCCGACCAGGGACAGGUCCCCGGGGCCUCCCCCCGCGGGCACGCGUUCGGGAACCGGUCCCUCCCUGAGAGACCGGUCCUCGGGAGACCGGUUCCUCUCAGAGAGACCGGUUCCCGAGAACUGAACUUUCGAGACUUAGCCGAUUUUCGGCUCUCCUCACUGGUGUCGCAGGCUGGGACCGGUCCCUCCUCUGCCAGGGACCGGUUGCAUCAGCAACCCCGCAGCCUUCAGCUGAUGGGACCAGUCUCUCACCUCCAGAGACCGGUCCCCGAGAGCAACCUCAGCCCAAAAAAGAAGAUUGCAUUAUUUGCUCUCGCGGACUCCAUUCCUAUGCACUUCUCGAUUUUCGUGCAUCCUUAGCUUUUCCAAAGCUUAUCCAUUCGACCCUUAGUCGAUUCUAGACGAGGUACAACCCUCGGAUUUCGAGAGUUCACAUUGUUACAUUCUCCCCUCCUUAAAAGAGUUUCGUCCUCGAAACUUACUCAUUCUUACCCUCUUUUAUUCCUCGAUCCACUCCUCGAGUACUCAGGGGUUCCAAUGAACUUUUGUACUUCGGAGUGGCCUUUAUUCUCAUCGAACUCAUUUAAAGGCCCACGACAAAGAAUGUGAGACCACGUUUACUCACAUUUUCCUCUUGCAACAUCAAAGGUGCAUUAUCACUUUACAGACCUCACUGGCGGUGUGGGUCAAUAUUCAAGACCCCACACUCUAACUUCACUAGCCACUCGGCUAAAGAAGGACCUAUUCCCUCGCGGUUCUAGCGAACAUCAUCACCGUUCGAGAUCAGGGCUACCCUUUCAUCCCAGUGGUGUGGAUCCAGCAAGAUCGCAUCACUUCGAUGAAUGAUCCACCACCACAUCUCUAUAUGCACGGGUGGACUUUUUCGAAUUGCUCAAGUACCCACUAGGUGGCACUUCACCACUUUGGCUAUUUGGGAGCCCGAUACCACCUUAUCAUCCUAUCUAUACUAUCUCAUUCCCAUCUACCCCGAGAUGGCAUCCUCUCGUGCAUCUUGGAUUCUCAAACCUCUUGAGAGUAUCAUUCUCAACGCCAACUUUUCGCGUGGCUAUCCAUUAUCCCAGUGUCUCCUAGAGACCACUUUACUUUCUCUUUAUCCCUUGACAUUCUAGGCCACGUUCAGCCACCACACGAAUCCUCCGUUCGCGAAUCUAAGCCCAACUCACUAUUAGAGUUUUUGGCUAUACCGACCAUCGGUUUCCUCAGGCGGACUAAGGCCACCAAUCCUGCGUAGGUCACUCGCCUAACUCGUCUCAACGAUGCCUAGCAUCUCUCGCUCACAAGCGUAGACCCAAUCACCACCGGGCGACAUUCUCAUUGGAGAAUUCGCUCGCACUCCAACCAGGAGUAUCCAAGUCCUCAAACCCCGUCAAGUCCUCGGGUCGGGUCUCCACACACUCGGCGUACUAUCGAUUUCGCGAUCCAAUACGUGGCAUUCCAUGCCCUCGGGUCUAAUCUCGGACUACCGUCCUGACUAAAACUCCGCCCUACCUAUAGGUAUCAGGCCGCUGUCUCUCACAGCUGACUGCGCCUGCCCAAUGGGCCCAGGCUCCACAGUCCACAAAUGGUCCAGGCACGAGUCGUCCCCAAGCACUACCCGCCAAUGUCGUCCUACACGACAUGCUCUACCGAGCUAUCAACUCUAGCGGCUCUUAGGCACCUAGUGCGAGCCACCAGCCCCCACGAGUGAUCCAUGGCUCGCUUCACACUUAACCCUGCUGAAGUGCUACUGCCAAUUCACUCGACCAGCUGAAUCGAAGCCGCACCUCAUGAGUAACUAUACUCGAGCGCUCUACGCCUCUACGGCGUCUCAUACAAAUCUAGCAUCAGGCAGCUUAGUCUAUGCACACCGCCACACGAGCAAUAACUCGUCCACCUCAAUUCGAGGUACUACUAGGCCCACAGGCCAAGUUUGGCGCUAAUCGACCAAUUUCGCAGCAGUGGUUCACCCCCGCUGUUCGAUCUAUCGAAUCCGCACCCGAACGACUCUUAGAAUAUUCGGGUGUCCCAAACGUCAAGGCUCAACUCUCGCAAUCUCUAUUCUAUUGCAUCGAGAGUUCACUCACAAUCUUGAUUUCCAUUACGAGCCUCGUUUCCUAUCCAAAAUCACCACUAGCCAUUUACUAGUACCACUUGGCUCUCCACCUGCUCUAGCAGGCGCUACACUCUCAUCCUGCUAGCAUGCUCGAGUGCCUACCGACCCGACCGCUCGGUCCCUACUAUGCAAUGUAAUAAUAGUAGCAACUGACCAAUGAUGAAUGCAUGCUAUGCUUUAACUUGAGAUCAUGCAAAAAUAUGCUUGCUCAAUAGCUCAUACCUGCCAUGACGUCGCCAGCACGGCAGGCCCCGCACCUCGGGUCGCUUAUCCAUGGCCACCCGGCGCUCGUCGCAAACCCUCUAGUUGCAUCAUUCUCAACGGCCGCUCCCCCAACCAUGCCGCAGGUGGCACACCCGCCGGCUGUCCCAAGGAAGAAUGGGCCGUCGCCAGUGUCAAGGCCCGGUUAUCACCCUGCGGACACUCCUCACGCACAUGUCCCGGCAGCCCACACUUGAAGCAUUUGCCCUCGCGCUGCUCACAUUGCCGUGGAAAAUGAGGGCCUCCACAAAUUGCAUAUCUCGCUGAGGACCGAAUGUGAUACGUCCCCGGAGCUCUAGAUCGAGAGCGCGUCCUAACUGAAGUCUGUUGGGAACUUGACUGGCCAUCAUCAUAUCCACUGACUGGUCGUCCAUUCCCUUUAUCCUUGUAACGCUCCUCGCGCCUUUCCCGCAUGAACGCAUUGCCUUGCUCUAUCCACAAGGCCCGAUCCAGGACUUCAGCGAAAGUCUGCAACUUAAGUACCUGCACUGCCAGGUACAAGUCCGGCCGAAGCCCCCGCACGAAGCAGUCAGCCUUGUCCUUGUCAUCUCGCACCACGUUCGGGACACAAUGCACGACACGGGAAAAUUCUCGCUCGUAUUGUCUGACCGUGCGACUUCCUUGUCGCAGCUUAAGGAACCUUUCCUUGAGCUUUCGCUUUUCACUAUCGGAGAAAUAAGCGGAGAAUACCAAUCCCCGAAACUCUUCCCAAGUCAUAGGAGGGAGACUAGGCAGUCGAUCUCGCUUGACGCCUUUCUACCAUACCUUCGCCGACUGUUUCAGAUAAUGCACGGCUAGGUUUACCUUGUCUCGCUCCAACGUGUACAGAUCCUCGAAGAGGGUCUCCAUGGAAUCAAUCCACAUCUUAACGACCCACAGAUCCGUAUCUUCUCCAUCGAAGGUAGGCGGGUCAAAUUUCUUGAAAGCCAUGAGGACAGCCAAAGCUCGCUCCCUUUCCGCCACAACCUCUGGGCUAAGAAGGGUCGGGUCACCCGUCCCCAAUGGAAAUGUCUCCGCUGCAAUUCCCGGCUGUCCUCCACCAGCCGCGACUGGUGCCGCCACCAGUCGAUCCACAGUUUCUUGGAGUCGUUCCAUUCGCUCCUCUUGGCGUAUAGCAGCCUCCUGCUGCCGUUGCACCACAUCAGCUUGUUGGCGCAUCACUCCAAUGAGUGUGGCCAAUUGAUCGCAAAGCUCCGAGUCUCGACUCGCAUCGGUUUACUAAGGGGCGCCACUUGUCCCCUCCCGUGCCGAUCUGGACGAAGAUCGCUUAUGCGGUGCCAUCGUUUCCUGAAACAGGACAACUCGAUUAGCUCUCGACCAACUCGGGUCGAACACGUGACCAUUAACACGGCUCAAAAGCCAAUCAGGCGAAAGUCGAACAAGGACGUCUAUUCUCGUCUCUCGGCUUUAUGUUGUGCGCGCCCAACAUAAACACACUCGGUCGAGAAUAAACCAUACCUUAAGUCUGCCUCUAAUGUCCGUCUUAGAGGUUAUGACACAACCCAAUCCAUUACCUUUCGCCACGGGUCACGAGUCCACGUCUCUCACGAGCCUUAUUCUCCUAUGGUUUCACUAUCCUAGGGUCUCCUAGGUCUGUCUAAACCAUUCUCUUCCCAUUCUCUACUUUAUGCUCUGAUACCACUUUACCUGUCACGCCUCGCGACCUACCGUUAAUUUGGACCGGGUCGCGACGCCGCUAACAGACCGCCGAACGGACCGGGGUUUCCUCUGUACGUGGACAGAGUCUCCCCUGUACGUUCUAGGUGUCGCAAUCCAAACAAUACAACGAGUGUUCCAACUAGGAACGGAUAACAAUCCUGAUUGCAAAGGAAGUAUCAAAUACAUAAACUAACAGCUAUUACAAGCAUUUACUUAGAACAUCUCAGUUCAGUUUACAUUUUUAUUUCCAAUUACAAACUCACUAUUACAACAGAGUUUACAAGCUUGAUACAUUUUCUUUUCUUGUCUUCUAGACCCCUAAGCUAGACUGCCUCAGGGUACUGCUACCUCGGUCUCUGUGGUAGGGCGCUAUCUACUGAGCUACGCCCUCGCCUCGCGCCGCCGCGCCGCACACAAACAACUUGAAAACCCCAAAACAAUGUGGAGUGAGAACCAACUCCAUGGUUCCCAGUGGGUACGGCCACCCAAGGGAAAAGCUCGACCGAUAGGUUCGAGGAGGCACUGCAACAUGUUAGUUCAAUAAUAUACAACAGAUAUAUUCAAUUGAAAUACAUGCCAUACCUCACGAUAUGCGAUAUGGAAAUCAUGCAACUCUAUGCAACAACUAGUAGAUCCAUAGAUUCUACAUUAUUAGGCUACUAUAGCUCAUAACUUUACUCUAAGGUUUCUAUUACCUUAGGUUCACAACACUAUCCACUGGCGUCUAAGGUUUCUAUUACCUCAGCUCAAGCCUCUAUCUCUAGCUCAUAGGGGUUUCUCUACCCUAUCGAUGCUAACCACACGACUUGGCUUCGAGUCAAUCAUCCGCGGAUAGCCCGCGCACUGGCUGCUCAUCAGCUUACCGCCCUCUCUGUCUCAGCCCCCUAGUGGCGAAGUCGUCGCACACGCUAAGCUCGGCUCAAGUCGCACGACUUGACCAUCUGGUGGCGAUCGCGUUGCACUUACCAAGCGUGAGCUCGAGUCCUGACACACCGUCUGGCGGCGAACGAAUCGCACCACACCUAACAACGGUACAUGUCAGACUCAGUCACCUAGAGGCAUCCACAUCUUACUUACCCAGCAUGGAUUCAGUCUACUCUGGCGGUCUGAUCCUCAAAUGGCUUAACCAUCCUGGCGGCGAAAUCGUCGCACAAAUGCCACGACAAUGGUUCAAGCUCCGGGCGGUGAUCUCCAUGUGAUUGCUCCCCAAUCCUCCCUCGGUACCAAGCUCGGCGGUGAAGUCGUCGCACAAACGCCCUAGCUUCUACCGGGGUCAUCACAAGUCAUGGGAUUCCGGAAUCCACUUUCCACAGGUCGAGGGUCUAUAGCCAACCCUAUACUUUCGACCUAUCUCAUCCUAGUGGCUAUGCCACUAUACACAUCAACCUAGAUUCCAAUACUCUAGGUUCUAUGUCCAUGUCACUUAACCUAGAUACACUUGCUAGGUUCUUGUCAUCUUUGCCUAGAUGUCUACUUCUAGGUUUACUAGUUCGACCUAGGUUUACUAACACUAGGUUCGAUGCCACACACCUAGAUCGUUCGACUCUAGGUUUACUUGUUUAACCUAUGUUCUUUAACACUAGGUUAGGUGCCACUCGAUCUACCUGACAACCUAAUUGUCCAAUCAACUCUACUCACACUAGAGUUAUUAACUCAUACUUUCUACUUGGCAUUUACUCUAUGCAUCUUAAUCCAUCAUGCAUUUUAUUUAGCAUUUCCAUCUAUGCAUUACUAUUAGUAUGCAUUCCUUACAUUAGCUAGCUUCAUUUACAUGUCAUGCUUUCAUGCUUGCUACUUACUACGCGUUCUUUACUUAGCCUUUACUUUAUGCAUUAUCAUUCAUCAUGCAUUUCUUGUCCUUGUCUACAUGCACAUGCAUCAACAUGGAGAUACAUUGCUAAAACAUAAAGGGCGACCUAGUCGCUUCGGUAAGCACAACCCACCUCGAUUUGCGUUCCGAUUGCUUGUCGACACUUGCAAUCGGCCUCCUGCGGCACUCGACACCCGCUCGGGCCCGAUCUCACAAUUAAAAGAUAUGGAUCUUGAGGAUCUAAAAGGUAAGUAACACCUAGAGGGGGGUGAAUAGGUGUAAAUACGGCAAAUUCAAAAAUCUCGAUGCAAUUAAAACAAAGUAGCGGAAAAUAAAACAGCACACCGAGAAUUUAACGUGGGAAAACUCCAAUUCGGAGUGAAAAACCCACGGGACCGAUCACGCGAAGAAAAUCCACUAAGAAAACUUGAGUACAAGUGAUUUUGACAAAACUACACGACUCAAUUUACCGAUUUCUCGUUGAUGGUGAUCUUCGCCGGUCCUCGAUCGAUAGGAAUCCACCAAUCGACCUCACUGCAACUCCUCGCAGCGUCAACGCCUCAACUCCUCGAAGCGUCCACCGAAUCCUCGGCUUCACGCGAGAUCCACGCGCCGAACCUCCUUCCGGAGCUUGUAGAAUCGAAGAUUUGUGAUGAUUUAACCUUUGAAUACCAUAAGCUAUGAGGGUUUGUCUUCUAAUCAAACAUCAACUUGAUUCUCGAAGAAGAUCUCGAGUAAAAUCGAAGAAUCACGUCGAUUGUUGAUUUUCCCGAAACUUGUUAUGUGAAUAGAAUCAUCAAAACGAAAAAACAAGUUUCUAGGGUUUAGAAUCAGUAAAUAUUCAAAGCCUUAAACUUUUAGAUGACCCACAUAGCUUAUUUAUAUGUUUAGAAGACUUAGAAGUAGACUAGGAUUGCAAAAAGUCCUUUUUAAAAACCUGUGUCGUCCUCAGAGACCGGUCUUCUCGAGGAGACCGGUCUGUGAGAGACCGGUCUCUCAAGUGAGGAACCGGUCCCUCACUGCGUGACCAAAAUCACAACGUUCGGGAACCGGUCUCUCAAGCUUGAGACCGGUCCCUCGCUGCGCGACAGAAAUACCAAGGUUCGGGAACCGGUCUCUCAUCUCAGGGGACCGGUUGCAUCAAAGUUCACGCAGUGAGGACCUUAGGGGAACCGGUCUCUUGACCUCAGGGACCGGUCCCUGAACACAGAAAAGUUCAGUAAAGUAUUUUUAAAGCAAUCUAAGCCUUCUGAACUUAUUCUAAUCAACUAUCUUCAUCACAAAUGAUCUUUUCUUCAUACCUUAGGUGCCGAACUUUACGAGUGAGUCUUUUUCCUUCAAUUUAGUUCUUUUCUUCGAUCUUCUGCAAUCAACUCUUCAAGACUCCAUUCAACACUACGAAAUCCGCCAACCUAUAAAAUUCUUAACAAUCUCCCCCUUUGGCGAUUUCGUGACAAAAUAUAUUACAAAAUUCGUACACAACUCAUAAAUAAUAAAAAGAAGAUCAUCGUAAUCACCAAACGAUAAUCUCCUGCAUGAUCGAUCCAAUAAAAGAAAUUUACACUUUACAGUCUUAAUACAAACUCUAUGACAUAGACAU